CUUGCACAUCCACAGGUCGAGUAUCUUAUACCAACAUGGUCAUGUGUGACUCCGGGUGAGACCGUCUCGAGACUAGGGUCGGAGCUGCAAGGAUCAUCUGGCCCUCCAGAGACUGUGCAAGCUCCCCUUUAAUACAACUUUUGUUCUUCGAUUGACUGAACAUAAGGAAAUGAUAGGAAUGGGAGAACAAGACGGAGAAACUCUACCAGCUGGG